UACGGAGGGAGCUAGCGUUGUUCGGAAAUUACUGGGCGUAAAGCGCUACGUAGGCGGCUAUUCAAGUCGGGGGUGAAAGCCCGGGGCUCAACCCCGGAACUGCCCUCGAAACUAGGUAGGCUAGAAUCUUGGAAGAGGCGAGUGGAAUUCCGAGUGUAGAGGUGAAAUUCGUAGAUAUUCGGAAAGAACACCAGUGGCGAAGGGCGACUCGCUGGACAAGUAUUGAACGCUGAG
rnacentral:rRNA from 1 species